UUACACAAUAUGAAGGCGGGCUGGAACCUCUCGGGGUUACAGCCUUGCUGAAUUAUUCACCCUUGUCUUUUGCGUACUUCUUGUUUCCUUGGUGGGUUCGCCCACCACUAGGACAAACAUAAACCUUUUGUAAUUGCAAUCAGCGUCAGUAACAAAUUAAUAAUUACAACUUUCAACAACGGAUCUCUUGGUUCUGGCAUCGAUGAAGAACGCAGCGAAAUGCGAUAAGUAGUGUGAAUUGCAGAAUUCAGUGAAUCAUCGAAUCUUUGAACGCACAUUGCGCCCUUUGGUAUUCCAAAGGGCAUGCCUGUUCGAGCGUCAUUUGUACCCUCAAGCUUUGCUUGGUGUUGGGCGUCUUGUCUCUAGCUUUGCUGGAGACUCGCCUUAAAGUAAUUGGCAGCCGGCCUACUGGUUUCGGAGCGCAGCACAAGUCGCACUCUCUAUCAGCAAAGGUCUAGCAUCCAUUAAGCCUUUUUUUCAACUUUUGACCUCGGAUCAGGUAGGGAUACCCGCUGAACUUAAGCAUAUCAAUAAGCGGA
rnacentral:rRNA from 1 species